UACGUAGGGUGCAAGCGUUAAUCGGAAUUACUGGGCGUAAAGCGUGCGCAGGCGGUUCGGAAAGAAAGGUGUGAAAUCCCAGGGCUUAACCUUGGAACUGCACUUUUAACUACCGGGCUAGAGUACGUCAGAGGGGGGUAGAAUUCCACGUGUAGCAGUGAAAUGCGUAGAGAUGUGGAGGAAUACCGAUGGAGAAGGCAGCCCCCGGGGAUGAUACUGACGCACAUGCACGA
rnacentral:rRNA from 1 species